rfam:Kytococcus sp. CTA-901 NODE_9_length_106543_cov_207.982_ID_13, whole genome shotgun sequence.
ACCGGGACCGUCCCGGGACCAUGGCGGGUGUGGGGGACCCACAGCAGUAUGCGAAGGAUCCCUUCGCUCGGGGUGAAGCCCUGCGCAACGCGCGAGGCCGGGACACCUGACGUUCCGAACCCGACAGCUCACUCCACCGGCGGUGCAGUCAGGAAGG